UACGUAGGGGGCAAGCGUUGUCCGGAAUCAUUGGGCGUAAAGCGCGCGUAGGCGGUCCGGUAAGUCUGCUGUGAAAGUCGGGGGCUCAACCCUCGGAUGCCGGUGGAUACUGUCGGGCUUGAGUACGGAAGAGGCGAGUGGAAUUCCUGGUGUAGCGGUGAAAUGCGCAGAUAUCAGGAGGAACACCAAUUGCGAAGGCAGCUCGCUGGGACGUUACUGACGCUGAGACGCGAAAGCGUGGGGAGCAAACAGG
rnacentral:rRNA from 1 species